rnacentral:rRNA from 1 species
AACCUGGUUGAUCCGCCAGUGCAUAUGCUUUUCCUAAAGAUUAAGCCAUGCAUGUCUAAGACUAAGAGGAAGCAAUUCUCUCCGAAUCUGCGAACGGCUCCGCAAACCAGUUGUAAACCAUAGCARGGCUGAGCUCGGCGAACCCUCGGGUGAGCCGGGCAUUAUAUGGAUAACCGUGGUAAUUCUGAGGCUAAUACAUGACAAACCGAACCGUCCUCGGCUUUCGGGCUGGGGGCGGGAACGGUGUGAAGCACAGUAAUCUGGGGAAUUCAUCGUGAAAGAACGCACGUUCAGACCACCGCUGAGUGGGCUCGAUCUCGGUCGGGUCCUGGUGGCCCUUGCAACGGGCUUCUGACCUAUCAACUACACAGCAGCGUAAGGGACAUGCUAUGGUGMCAACGGGUACARAGGAUUAGGGUUCGAUCCUGGAGAGUGGGCCUGAGAGAUUGCUCAUACUUCUAAGGAAGGCAGCAGGCGCGCAACGUUCCCCUUGGGCAUAGCUCGAGGGCGUUAUGGGAAAUAUGAAUGGCUGCCUACAAGGUGGCCAAUUCAAAUGGGUCUGUCGUAAAUAGGCUCUCGAGUAACAAUUAGAGGACAAGUCUGGUUGCCGGACAGCCAGGUGUCAAGAUCUUCCGCGCACAGCAACAAGUGUAGGUUUAUUCUUGGCAGAAAGCCGGGGUUGAGCACCGGUUGUACAAUCGUAAAUUGCGGGGAAAACUGGGUUCGAGCAUUCGGGUACCGCGGCCGAUAAUGGGGAAUUCUAACCCAUACAACGGUGCAGCAGGUGGCGUAACGGCCACUGGAUGGUAAAAACCUCGCUUGCGAACGAGGGGCGUGUCCACGCCCAGCCCUUCGAUGGGCAACUUCUCCCAGUCAAUCCGCAGCCAAGGCUGCUAAACCCUUCGGGGAGUGCGGCAAGGUUCAGAGACUAUAAUCGAUUGGGGGCUUCGGCUCUUAAGGUAUAGUCCACUCCCCCCAGUGAUGGGGCUGGCAAUAGUAGGGGCGCUCAGCCCUGAGGGUAGCCGGAUCCAACGAUCCCAGGACCUAAAUGCCUGGGGGAGGGUGGUAAUGAGGGCCAGCACCCGCGGUAAUUCCAGCUCUAAUAGCAUACGUUAAAGUUGUUGCGGUUAAAACGCUCGUAGUCGGCUUCAGAUCGUCAGAUGCCGGAAUGGGUCUUCGGCUCGUGCCCCUUCAAAGGCGCGUCCGGGAAUUUGUGAAGGCGGGCGGCGUUCAAACGUGCCCAAGGCGUGCCUCGACUUCGGUCAAGGAUUUACAGGGCGUCUCCCUCGCAAGGGGGAUCAAGGCGUCUGGCUUUGGGUACCAUCUACCAUGAUUAAACCGGCGUGAUUAAGGCAACACCAUUAGGUUUCUGCACGGCUCAGCAUGGCAUAGGCGGACGGGAUUCGGCUCCCCCAGUUCAAUAAAAAACUGAGAUGCCGGGUUUCGUAUUCACCGUCAACAGGGGUGUUCGGGGGCAGUCGGAUUGCUUGGUGAGUGGUGAAAUACGUUGAUCCUCGCAAGACGACCCAAGGCGAAAGCAGCUGUCAAGGGCACACCCAUUGAUCAAGAGCGAAAGUUAAGGGUUCGAAGACGAUCAGAUACCGUCGUAGUCUUAACUAUAAAUGAUACUGGCUAGGGAUAGGGCAAUGUCCAUCUCGACUCCCCCUGCACCUUAGGGAAAACCAAAGCCUUUGAGUUCUGGGGGGAGUAUGGUCGCAAGGCUGAAACUUAAAGGAAUUGACGGAAGGGCACACAAAGAGUGGAACCUGCGGCUUAAUUUGACUCAACACGGGAAAACUCACCGGGUCCAGAUACACGUAUGAAAGACAAGCUGAUAGACUCUUCUCAAUAAUGUAAGUGGUGGUGCAUGGCCGUUCUUAGUUCGUGGAGUGGUUUGUCUGGUCUAUUCCGAUAACGAGCGAGACCCCAACGUUCUAACUAGGGGUGGUAGCCCGGCUCGGACCUCCGCGAGGGGGACCUUGCUAGCUUGCCGCUUCGAUAAAAAAGCAUAGCUUCAUAGACGGAUCAGGGCCUGAUAAGGUCCUUGAAAUGGGUUAAUAACAGGUCAGUCAUGCCCUUAGAUGUUCCGGGCCGCACGCGCGUUACAAUGGAAGGUAAAAAAGGUGUUCUUUUUCUGAGCUUAAUCGGUACCGAAAGGUGGCCGGCAUUCCCUAAUACCUCCCUUGACUGGGAUAGUCACUUGGAAUUAUGUGUCUUGAACGAGGAAUUUUUAGUAGUCGGCGGGUCAUUAGCCCGCGACGAAUGCGUCCCUGCCCUUUGUACACACCGCCCGUCGCUGCUACCGAUUGGGUUAGGUAUUUACGCGUUCGGAGGCCAGGGGGCCUGCUGCCUUCGGGUGGCGGAAACCCUAGCCGAAGUUCUAAUUAAUACACGAUCUAGAGGAAGCAGAAGUCGUAACAAGGUAAUCGUAGGUGAACCUGCAGAAGGAUC